ACAUCAAGUUGAAAAUCACAAUAUCUGUUACGACCAUAUGUUCUGUAUAUGAAUGUAACUUGUUGAUGCAUUGCAGAAAUACCAUGCUGAUAAAUAUGCUGCAUUCUCCACCUUACUCAGAUAAAAUCUGUCUUUUACUUUUUCUCAAAAUGUCCUUCAUUUCAUACUGAAACUUAAAUAUGAAAUCAAUGCAUGUAGAAUGAGUUAUAUCCAAAAAGAAAAAAAAAAACAGGAGGUUCAGACAUAAAGACCUCAUCGCCAAUAGUUUCAGUAGUUCUUCCACAAAGGUUCUAAUGAAACCGAGUUUGAUUAGAACUAAACAAUAUUUGGGAAAUGAUACAAAGGUCAAAGGCUUUGUUAUCGAGCGUUAGUCAUAGGAUAUCUGUAUGCCUUCAUUUUCUACUUCUCUAUAGAGAUGAGUGUUCCAUUUUAUUCACUGAUUAAAAAAAUGUUUGGUUUCUAGGACCACAUAUUACUUGCAUAAGCCUUCUUCCCAGGUGUGCAGUGAGCUUUACAACCGUAAUUUUUUGUCAUUCAGAUGCUUCAAGAAAUGUUUCAGUUUGCCUACCUUGAUUACCUGGCUCUCAUUGAAAUUCCUCCCUUCUAGAGUGUUUGUCAGUACCCUAGGACGCAGGGUCUGCUAAUGAUAUUAGUUUGGGGAUGCAUUUUCUCUCCUGCUCGUCAUAUCUUUGAUCUCUAUACUUCUGUGAUACAUCUGUAUCCCAUUUAUGUUUAGCUUAGUAUGGGUAUAUUGUGUUCCAUGUGUUAAACUUUUAUUAUCUCUCAUCGAUAUUAUGCUUGCUUCUUUUAAUGGGUGUUUUUGUUUAUCACAGUGGAUUGCUCUUGUUUUGGCGCCAGAAGGGUUUUCUAUAUUUCAUGUAAUGAUUGUAGACCAUCAUUGGGUUGCUCUUGUUUUGGCUCCAAUGAAGGCUUUUCUAUGUUUCCUAAGUCUUUCGCUGUGAUGUUGGACCAAAUGGGAGAAUUCUCAUAAAAGGGGUGAGCGUGACCGGAGAGAGGAAGAUUCGCAGGAAGAAUAUGGUUUUUAAGAUGCAAACUCAGAAUUUAUGCCCACCGGGUGAAUUUACUGUUUCAUUCCAGCUACGAGGUCCAAUUGAUCAUCUAAACUUGUCUUGUAAUUUUGGACCUGACGGAAUUUUUGAAGGUGUUGCGAAGAAAAAACAGCAGGUCCUUUAAGGUACAUAUUUAGAUCAAAAUAUUUCCUCUUUGUAUAAGUACCUCUAUAGUCCAAAGUAUUUUGUUUGGAGUUGCAUGUGAAAGUUGUGUCUGUGGCUUUCCCCACUUUUAUAUUAGUCAAACAAGCCAAUUAUAUUAACCAUUAUAUCUGAACCAAUUAAGUAAUCCCGCCAUUUAGGUUCCUGAUAUAUGAACAAUCAUUCUGCAUUGUUUUUGGAAUGUGGACAUAUUUGUGCACUGUCAAAGUGUAAGGUCAUAUUUAUGUAUUAUACCCUUAGAUUUUAAGCUGAACACGCCCAGUUUUGCGUGUUGAA